rfam:Ixodes scapularis strain Wikel colony gcontig_1108379749798, whole genome shotgun sequence.
UCCUGGUUAGCCCAGUUAGUAGAGCGCUCCAUUGGAAAUGUAGAGGUCCCUGGUUCGAUACCAGGACCAGGUG